AGGAUGAACGCUGGCGGUCUGCUUAACACAUGCAAGUCGAACGGGCGUAGCAAUACGUUAGUGGCGGACGGGUGAGUAACGCGUGAGAAUCUACCUUCAGGACGGAGACAACAGUUGGAAACGACUGCUAACCCCCGAUGUACUGAAAAGGCAAAUAUUUAUAGCCUGAAGAAGAGCUCGCGUCCGAUUAGCUAGUUGGAGAGGUAAAAGCUCACCAAGGCGACGAUCGGUAGCUGGUCUGAGAGGACGAUCAGCCACACUGGGACUGAGACACGGCCCAGACUCCUACGGGAGGCAGCAGUGGGAAUUUUCCGCAAUGGGCGAAAGCCUGACGGAGCAAGACCGCGUGGGGGAAGAAGGCUCUUGGGCUGUAAACCCCUUUUCUCUGGGAAGAAAGUUGUGAAAGCAGCCUGACGGUACCAGAGGAAUCAGCAUCGGCUAACUCCGUGCCAGCAGCCGC
rnacentral:rRNA from 1 species